rnacentral:rRNA from 1 species
CCUACGAGAGGCAGCAGUGAGGAAUAUUGGUCAAUGGGCGCGAGCCUGAACCAGCCAAGUAGCGUGAAGGAUGACUGCCCUACGGGUUGUAAACUUCUUUUAUAAAGGAAUAAAGUGAGGCCCGUGUGGGAUUUUGUAUGUACCAUAUGACUAAGGAUCGGCUAACUCCGUGCCAGCAGCCGCGGUAAUACGGCGGAUCCGAGCGUUAUCCGGAUUUAUUGGGUUUAAAGGGAGCGUAGGUGGAUUUUUAAGUCAGUUGUGAAAGUUUGCGGAUCAACCGUAAAAUUGCAGUUGAAACUGGCAGUCUUGAGUACAGUAGAGGUGGGCGGAAUUCGUGGUGUAGCGGUGAAAUGCUUAGAUAUCACGAAGAACUCCGAUUGCGAAGGCAGUUCACUGGACUGCAACUGACACUGAGGCUCGAAAGUGUGGGUAUCAAACAGGAUUAGAGACCCCGGUAGUC